rnacentral:rRNA from 1 species
UCCCAGACUCCUACGGGAGGCAGCAGUGAGGAAUAUUGGUCAAUGGUCGAGAGGCUGAACCAGCCAAGUCGCGUGAGGGAAGACGGCCCUACGGGUUGUAAACCUCUUUUGUCGGGGAGCAAAGCGAACCACGUGUGGUUCAUUGAGAGUACCCGAAGAAAAAGCAUCGGCUAAUUCCGUGCCAGCAGCCGCGGUAAUACGGAAGGUCCGGGCGUUAUCCGGAUUUAUUGGGUUUAAAGGGAGCGUAGGCCGGUCUUUAAGCGUGCCGUGAAAUUUUGUGGCUCAACCAUGAGAGUGCGGCGCGAACUGGAGACCUUGAGUGCGCGGAAGGCAGGCGGAAUUCGUGGUGUAGCGGUGAAAUGCUUAGAUAUCACGAAGAACCCCGAUUGCGAAGGCAGCCUGCCGCAGCGUUACUGACGCUGAAGCUCGAAAGCGCGGGUAUCGAACAGGAUUAGAUACCCCGGUAU